UAGUCUCGUGGUUAUACAAGGAUGUAUAAGACAGAAAGUCACAUUUUAUCAUGUGGCCCUAGCAUUGCUCCACAUUGACACAAAUCAGAUGAACACAUCUCACAGGAAGUUUAGGUUGGAUAUUAGGAAGAACAUCUUUACUGCAGGGGAUGUUAGGUAUUGGAAUAGACUGCCCAGUGAAGUGGUUGAGUCACCAUCCCUGGAGGUCUUUAAAAGACAGUUAGGUGUAGAGCUUAGUGAUAUGGUUGAGUGGAGGACUUGCUAGUGUUAGGUCAGAGGUUGGACAAGG